rnacentral:rRNA from 1 species
CUCAAUUUGUUUCUGUGGGGGGUUCGAAAGCUUGUUUCUUGGCAGCCCUUCUAAUGAUCUGUUCGGCCGGGCAUGGUUGCUACGGUUGAGGUGCUCAGGAAAUACGAUGGAUAAAUUCAGACUCAUUCGUAGCGGCGGUGCUCGGUCUUUUGUUCAUUGGAAGGAAUGGGCCAAGGGUGUGGGCUUCCAUAGUUGGUUCUCUCGAAAAGGUGGCGGUGGUUGAUGUGUUGCUGGGGUGAGAUUUUUUGCUGGUGGUUGGGUCGAGGGAGUGGUUGCGAGCGCACCUAGUAGCUCAAACCUUCCAUGAGGGGAAAUUGUCGGGUGGGGUCAGUUUGGGAUGGAUGAAGAGCAGUUCAACCCAUAGGGCUGGCCACCCUAGUCCCUCUCGACCGUGCCUCAACAUGCCCUCGUGGAAGGGUUUGGUGUCUAGGUAAUGAAAAACACCUCCCUCGGUCUGAGCUCCAUCGAGAUCGCAAUUUUCCCAGCCAAUGGGCAUGAGGGUGGUAAUCUUAUCUCGUGCCUUUACCGUCGAGGGAAACUUGGGGUUUCCAUGUCACAAGGCUGAAAUUUAAAGGAAUUGACGGAAGGGCACCACCAGGAGUGGAGCCUAUGGCUUAAUUUGAUUCAACACAGGGAAACUUACCAGGUCCAAACAUAGUAAGGAUUGACAGAUUGAAGCUCUUUCUUGAUUCUAUGGGUGGUGGUGCAUGGCCAUUCUUAGUUGGUGGAGCGAUUUGUCUGGUUAAUUUCAAUAAUGAAUGAGACCUCAGCCUACUAACUAGCUAUGUGGAGGUUCCCCUUCACGGCUAGCUUCUUAGAGGGACUAUGGCUGUUUAGUCCAUGGAAGUUUGAGGCAAUAAUAGGUCUGUGAUGCCCUUAAAUGUUAUGGGUUGCAUGCGUGCUACUCUGAUGUAGCUAAUGAUUUUUUCUUCCUGGUUCAAGAGGAUCGGGAAAUCUUAUCAAAUUGCAUCGUGAUGGGGAUAGACCAUUGCAAUUAUUGGUCUUCAACCAGGAAUUCCUAGUAAGCGCGUGUCAUCAACUCGUGUUGAAUACAUCCUUGCCCUUUGUACACACCACCUGUUGCUCCUACCGAUUGAAUGAUCUGGUGAACUGUUCGAAUUGCAUCGACGAUGGUGGUUCUCCACUGUCGAUGUCGUGAGAAUAUCAUUGAACCUUAUCAUUUAGAGGAAGGAGAAUUCGUAGCAAGAUUACCGUAGGUGAACCUGUGGUAG